rnacentral:rRNA from 1 species
CCUACGGGGGGCUGCAGUGAGGAAUAUUGGUCAAUGGCCGGAAGGCUGAACCAGCCAAGCCGCGUGAAGGACGAAGGUGCCAAGCAUUGUAAACUUCUUUUAUAAAGGAAUAAAGUGAGGCACGUGUGCCUUUUUGUAUGUACUUUAUGAAUAAGGAUCGGCUAACUCCGUGCCAGCAGCCGCGGUAAUACGGAGGAUCCGAGCGUUAUCCGGAGUUAUUGGGUUUAAAGGGAGCGUAGAUGGGUUGUUAAGUCAGUUGUGAAAGUUUGCGGCUCAACCGUAAAAUUGCAAUUGAUACUGGCAGUCUUGAGUACAGUUGAGGUAGGCGGAAUUCGUGGUGUAGCGGUGAAAUGCUUAGAUAUCACGAAGAACUCCGAUUGCGAAGGCAGCUUACUAAACUGCCACUGACAUUGAUGCUCGAAAGUGUGGGUAUCAAACAGGAUUAGAUACCCUUGUAGUC